GGGGGGGGGGGGGGGGGGGGGGGGGGGGGGGGGGGGGGGGGUGCGCGCGCCCGCGGGCGGGGCUGAGGGGUGUGAGGGGCGCGCGCGGGGCCGGGGCCGGGGCCGUGAGGAGGGAGGGCCGGCCGGGAGCGGGGAUGGACGCGGCGGCAACGGGAGUAUUUGCCAUCUUCUUAGAAAUCCAAAGAGAACAUAUGGGUUAUCAGGAAAUGGAUGAAUCAGUACCCUCCAGAGGCAGAGUUCAGCUGCCAAAUUCCAAGAUAUGGAGAACAGAUAUCAAUGAACAUAAACAAUACUGCUGUGAGAAGAGAGAGCUGGGACUACUCAAGGUUCCCAUGAAUUCCUGCAGGAGAGGCUGGCUUCUGUGGCAUCUGUUAAAGGAGUGA
rnacentral:lncRNA from 12 species